GGUCAAUGAUGAGUUGUAAAAGGUCUGAAGCUGAGAGCUCCUCCCCUUCAGCUCCUCAGGUCCUCCCAGCCCACCUGCUGCUGUUUCCCAGCAUGCUCUAGUUCUGUGUGUUGGGGCUGCACAGUGGCUGAUACUGAGAGACGUUCUGCUCAGUGUGUGUGUGCGAGAGAGAGAGACGGCAUGACGCACGGAGUAGAAACGUCUGACAGAAACAUUCACACCCUCACUUCAUUAUACACACACUUGUGCACAUACACUUGCACGUACACACACUUUUGAGCACACACACAGGAGGGCGGAGCUUCAGGGGGUGAGCAGCUCAUGAUCUCCAGUUUUCAAUCUGAGACC